GACGAACGCUGGCGGCGUGCCUAAUACAUGCAAGUCGAGCGGACCUCAUCACGAGGUCAGCGGCGGACGGGUGAGUAACACGUGGGCAACCUGCCUGUAAGACUGGGAUAACACCGGGAAACCGGUGCUAAUACCGGAUAAUACUUUCCGACUCAUGUCGGGAAGCUGAAAGACGGCAUCUCGCUGUCACUUACAGAUGGGCCCGCGGCGCAUUAGCUAGUUGGUGGGGUAACGGCCCACCAAGGCGACGAUGCGUAGCCGACCUGAGAGGGUGAUCGGCCACACGGGGACUGAGACACGGCCCAGACUCCUACGGGAGGCAGAAGUAGGGAAUCUUCCGCAAUGGACGAAAGUCUGACGGAGCAACGCCGCGUGAGCGAAGAAGGCCUUCGGGUCGUAAAGCUCUGUUGUCAGGGAAGAACAAGUAUCGGAGUAACUGCCGGUACCUUGACGGUACCUGACCAGAAAGCCACGGCUAACUACGUGCCAGCCGCCGCCGUAACAC
rnacentral:rRNA from 1 species